AUGUGUGAAAUUUGAAACGUAACAGAUAGUGCCGUACAAGGAUUUAGAUCCUAUAAGGAACUUCGGAAUGAAAGCUACAAUAAGCAUGUGUUUACUCAUUCUCUGUGACGUUCCCAAAUCUAGGUUAGCGCCCUGCGUUGUUACAUUAAACAAUAUAUUAUUGGCCGUUCCUGAAUCUACCAUAUUUUAGUGGAAUUCGAACGUAUGCACGAUGUGAGGCUAACAUAUAUGAAAAAUGUGUUGCAGCUGAUGAAAGGUGCAUGGAACUGGGACAGAAGUACUGCGAUAAAGCUAUGUUGACGUAUCCAUUGGCGACACCUGAUAUGAACUACUGCAACCGUUUGGAAUUAUUUCUGUCAUGCUUUACACCGAUCGAUUCAUGCCAUAAGCGGUUAAAAAGAAUUUCCGACGUAGAUUGCAAACAUUCCACAUUCGAGUUACCUCUAUUUCCAGUUCAAAAGGAAUGCAUCAAUUUGGCCAACAAGCACUGCACGGCAGUCAUGAAGAAAAUGCCUAUAAGUAAACCAGAUGUGAACUUCUGCAAGCGUAUGAUACUUUUUCAGACAUGCUACUCUCCGACAGAUCCUUGUACUGACCUGUUUCGAAGAGUUCUUGAUCGUCAAUGCUUACGUGACGAUCCCAAUUCUAUCUCAGCUUCUUGCAUUCAUAUAUCAAACAGUAUAUUAAUUGCUGUUCUUGUUUCGACCAUAUGUUAGUGGAAUUCAAGUUAUGCACCACGUGAAGCUAAUAAAUCUAAUGAACAUGUAACAGUUAUAUUUUCGCUAGUUUUACAUUAUAUUAACUCUUAAUCUUAGUAUAUAACAAAACAUCAGACGUUCCUGUUAGGAAAAUUUUCUGAAAUGAAAGCUUGUGUAUUCGUAUUUAUUCUCAGCUUUUGUAGAUAUCAUAUGCCAGUUCUUUCAGCGAUACAGUCAUGCAUCGUGUCUGCACAAACAUACUGCAAACUUGCUUUGGAUCAGUAUCCUCUGCGGAAUCCAGAUGUCAAUUACUGCAACCGUCUAAAAGUCUUACAUGUAUGCUAUCCACCGGGUUCUAAUUGCUUUCGCUCUAUUCACUUACUCCGUGAGCAUGAAUGUCAAAGAAAGACGACCGAGAGUGGUGUACAUUCGACCUACAUUUGCACUCCAUAUAAGCCAUUACUGCUAUUCCUUAUGUCGUCAGUGGUGUCGAGAAAUAAAAUCAUAUGAUUCGAAAUAAUCGAUAUCAAAUUAAUGAUGUAACUAUGAUAUGUGCUAUAUUUAUAUAGAUAUACUAUAUUUAUAUUAGUUUGUUAGUCUUAUUUUCUUAUUCAAGUGUUAAAUAUAUAAUGUCAACUCGUAAUUUUCUAAAACGAAUACCGCUUAAGGAUGUCACGUUAUUAUUAAUAAUAAUGCUACGAUGCCAAUAUAUCUUGCAUUUCAUUGUUACAGUAAUAAUUGGUUACUUGUUUGCAAUAACUGUAAUGUGUGUGGAAAUGCGUUUGCAAUGGCACGUCUAUAUCUCCGUUUUAUAUAGAGUAACAAUAAAAUACAAAAAAAAGGUACAGUAAUAAAAUAAAUUGUACAUCCAAUGCAAA